UGCAUAAGACAUAAAAAGCGCACCCCUUAGAUUUAUACAUAACAUAUCGAUAAAAGCAAUGGCGGCUUCUCGAUCAAUCUCAAUCAUCAUGAGCCUCAUGAUUCUGGCCCUGGUCAUGUCUCCAGCGCCACCUUGUCAUGCUGCUCGACUAAACGAGCGAGUUUUAACUGGACCGAUAUGCCCGGCUUGUGUCUGUUGCUCGCCACCGCCACCGGGUUCCUGUUGUGAGUGCUGUACUACGCCUGUUGAGACAUCAGCAGAAGGAUCGCCCUGACGAAUUAAAUUGCUGGAAUUUGCCUGGGGGUUUCUGGCUAAAAGAUUAGCAUGAAUAAGAGGAGAAGCCCUUGCUGUUGAUGUGUUUCUUUAUGUAAUUUCUAAUGAUAAUAAAUAAACUCUCCGCCGAUGGGGACCAAUAAGCUUUUAGGCAUAUACGACAGAGAUGAAUGGUUCAAACAAUAUGGUUGAAUCUCUCUCGUAUGACCGAUGCUUUCUUUCUUGUAAAAUCAAAUUGAAGCUGGAAAAUAAGCUUGUCUUUGGUUUUCGAGUUGUAUAAUGAUUCAACUCAAUUUGAUUUUAUACAAUAAUUGUAAGUGUUACAAAUAUA